rnacentral:rRNA from 1 species
UGGGGAAUAUUGGACAAUGGGGGAAACCCUGAUCCAGCAAUGCCGCGUGUGUGAAGAAGGCCUUCGGGUUGUAAAGCACUUUUAUCGGGAACGAAACGUUGUCGGUUAAUACCCGGCAAAACUGACGGUACCCGAGGAAUAAGCACCGGCUAACUCCGUGCCAGCAGCCGCGGUAAUACGGAGGGUGCAAGCGUUAAUCGGAAUUACUGGGCGUAAAGCGUGCGUAGGCGGUUUGUUAAGUCUGCUGUGAAAUCCCCGGGCUCAACCUGGGAAUGGCAGUGGAUACUGGCAAGCUAGAGUGUGUCAGAGGAUGGUGGAAUUCCCGGUGUAGCGGUGAAAUGCGUAGAGAUCGGGAGGAACAUCAGUGGCGAAGGCGGCCAUCUGGGACAACACUGACGCUGAGGCACGAAAGCGUGGGGAGCAAAC